rnacentral:rRNA from 1 species
GGUAGGGUAAGCGCGCUGAUGGAUAUGCGCGUCCAAGCAGUUAGGCUGACAAGUAGGCAAAUCCGCUUGUCAUAAAGGCUGAGCUGUGAUGGCGAGGGAAAUAUUAGUACCGAAGUUCCUGAUCCUACACUGCCAAGAAAAGCCUCUAGCGAGGUGACUGGUGCCCGUACCGCAAACCGACACAGGUAGGCGGGAAGAGAAUUCUAAGACGCGCGGGAGAACUCUCGUUAAGGAACUCGGCAAAAUGACCCCGUAACUUCGGGAGAAGGGGUGCUCUAUUAGGGUUUACGCCCGAGAGAGCCGCAGUGAAUAGGCCCAAGCGACUGUUUAUCAAAAACACAGGUCUCUGCUAAGCCGCAAGGCGACGUAUAGGGGCUGACACCUGCCCGGUGCUGGAAGGUUAAGAGG